GCUGCUGCUCUAUCUGAGAUCAUGAUUGCUACGCUUGCUUCAGAGAAUGUGGACUUAGUUGAUCUGCAACCAUACAGCAUUGUGUGACGAGCUGGCCUCAGGACCCAGAAGGACCUGGUUGUGAGUCUUCCCUGUCAUCCAGAACAGCGGUAUGAUCCUGGAUAAGGAACCUCUCUCUGCCAAUGCAGGUGAAUGAAUAUCUGGAGAUGAAAGUAACCAGGUUAUGACCUUGUGAACUUCCAAAGCUCAGAAGAACCAUCAGAGAUCCCUCUCAGCAACUCUAGUCACUAGCAGAAACCUCUGGGUCCAGCAGCAGGAGCCACAUGACCCAGCACACAUUAGUUUGACCCAGAAGCCUCGAGACCCCAUUGGAAGGAACCAGCCCUGUGGAGCAAGAGGGCAACUCAUCCAUUGUGAUGCCACAGCCUGAUGCAAAGUUAGUGAGGACUUGAUGACUCCUGGGGUCAUCCACUACAAGGUUCUCCUUGGCCCCACAUGUUACCUACAUGUGUACUCACUGCAUUAGAAUCAACUGCUAUAAGACCAAAUCUACUCUCUCCAGGGCCGUUGUAUAUGCAAGGGGAGAAGGGGCUUCCUAUUUGGGGCAUGUAUUUGUACUCUCUGUCCUCGUUAUACUUUCUUAAUAAAUAUCCCUUUG